rnacentral:rRNA from 1 species
GAAUCAUUGUCAAUGGGCGCAAGCCUGAACGUGCGACGCCGCGUGUGGGAUGAAGGCCUUCGGGUUGUAAACCACUGUCAGGGGCUAACAAUAAGCGUUUAACUCACGGGAUGAGUUAAACCCCCGCGGAAGUGACAGCCAACUACGUGCCAUCCGCUGCGGUAAUACGUAGGUCGCGAACGUUAUUCGGAUUUACUGGGCUUAAAGGGCGUGUAGGCGGCUUCGUAAGUCAAGGUUGAAAUCCGGCGGCUCACCCGUCGAACUGGUCUUGAUACUGCGGAGCUUGAGUCAUGGAGGGGUGCGCGGAACUUGUGGUGGAGCGGUGAAAUGCUCAGAUAUCACAGGGAACACCGGAGGCGAAGGCGGCGCACUGGCCAUGUACUGACGCUGUAGCGCGAAAGCCAGGGGAGCGAACGGG